rnacentral:misc_RNA from 1 species
GAUUGAAGAACGUAGCGAAAUGCGAUAAGUAAUGUGAAUUGCAGAAUUCAGUGAAUCAUCGAAUCUUUGAACGCACAUUGCGCCCGCCAGUAUUCUGGCGGGCAUGCCUGUUCGAGCGUCAUUUCAACCCUCAGGCCCCCAGUGCCUGGCGUUGGGGAUCGGCGCGGCGCCCUCCGGGGCGCUGCCGGCCCCGAAAUUCAGUGGCGGUCUCGCUGUAGCCCUCCUCCGCGUAGUAGCACAACCUCGCGGCCUGGAGCUCGGCGGUGGCCAUGCCGUAAAACACCCCACUUCUGAAAGUUGACCUCGGAUCAGGUAGGAAUACCCGCUGAACUUAAGCAUAUCAAUAAGCGGAGGA